AACGAACGCUGGCGGCAUGCCUAACACAUGCAAGUCGAACGAUACCUUCGGGUCUAGUUGCGCACGGGUGCGUACCGCGUGGGAACCUGCCUUUAGGUUCGGAAUCACGCAGAGAAAUUUGAGCUAAUACCGGAUGAUGUCUUCGGACCAAGGAUUUCUCGCCUUUGGAUGGGCCCGUGUUGGAUUAGCUAGUGGGUGGGGUACAGGCCUACCACGGCGAGGAGGCAUAGCUGGGCGGCUAGGCUGAUCAGCCACGCUGGGGCCGCGGCACGGCCUAGCAUCGUACGGAGCGGAGGAGAAGGGAAUACUAGAGGAGGAGGGAAAGUCUGAUCACGCAGUGCGGCGUGAGAGAUCAAGGCCGUAGGGUUCUAAAGCCCUUUUACCCGAGAGGAUAAUGACAGUAGCGGGAGAAGAAGCACCGGCUAACUCCGUG
rnacentral:rRNA from 1 species